AUGCGAGGCUUUGAUGAUACAUGCUGCAGAUGGAUUGAGCAGAUCCUGCAUAAUGGGACAGUCAGCAUUAAGCUUAACGGUAGUGUUGGGCCGUAUUUUCAAAGCAAAAAGGGUGUGAGGCAGGGGGGCCCGCACUCUCCUUUUUUGUUCAAUCUAGCUGUUGAAUGUCUCACUAAAAUGAUUAAAAAUGCCCAGAAAAACAAACUGAUUGUAGGCUUAGCUGCCGACCUGAUUCCUGAUGGGGUGGCGAUCCUACAAUAUGCGGAUGAUACAAUCAUUUGUAUU
rnacentral:rRNA from 1 species